rnacentral:rRNA from 1 species
CCCGACAUGCCACGCCAUCUGGGGGAUAGCUUGGCUCGGACGCCGAAGAAGGGCGUAGCAAGCCGCGAUAGGCCUCGGGGAGGUGCAUGCAACCUUCGAUCCGAGGAUCCCCGAAUAGGACUUCCAGCCGCGGCUUCGGCCGCGGCGCUCCCACAUGGGAGCGGGAACCCCCUGAAUGGAAACAUCUUAGUAAGGGGAGGAAGAGAAACCAAUCGGGAUUCCCCUAGUAGCAGCGAGCGAAAAGGGAACAGUUCAAACCGAAUCCCGCGGGGAGACCCGCGGGGGAUGUGGUGUUGUGGGCCUGGCCUCCUCCUAACCGACGAAGCCGAAGUGACCUGGAACGGUCCGCCGCAUAGGGUGAUAGCCCCGUAGGCGUAAGUCGGAAGGAGUUGGGCUGGGUUCCUGAGUACCAAGCCUCGAUUUUGGUUUGGGAAGCUGGGAGGCAUCAACUCCCAAAACUAAACACGUUCCGAGACCGAUAGUGCACCAGUACGGUGACGGAAAGCUGAAAAGUGCCCCGGAAGGGGGGUUAAAAGCGCUUGAAACCAGAUGGUUAUAGACGUGCAUGGCUCAUAAGGGAAGAUUCCACCCGAAGGAUGCCGUAGCGAUGCGGCGGUACGAGGGUGGAGGACUAGGGUCAUGCGAUCAGUCUCGAAGCACUGGCCGGGGAGUUCACUGUCAUGGCGAGCUUAAGGGUGUUAAGCCCGGAGGCGAAGGGAAACCGACAGGCCCACAACGGGGCAACCUGCGAGGGGCGGAGUCUGAAAGGGCUCGGAGUCAUGGCGGUGAGAAUAGAAACCAGACGAUCUAGUCCUGGGCAAGGCGAAGCCGGGUGAAAACCCGGUGGAAGCCUGAAGGGGUUCUGACGUGCAAUUCGAUCCUUUGACCUGGGAUUAGGGGCGAAAGACCAAUCUAGUCUGGUGAUAGCUAUUUCCCUCCGAAGUAUAUCGCAGUAUAGUCUCGGGCGAGGUGGCCGAUGGGGUAGAGCACCGAUUGGGAGACAAGGACUCGAAAGGGUUCACCUUCCUAUCAAACUCCGAAUCUGUCGGCGCUGAAGACCCCGGGGGACGGGUACUAGGGCGUAAGGUCCUAAGGCCGAGAGGGAAGCAACCCAGACCGAGGCUAAGGUCCCUAAAUGCUGACUAAGUGUGAGGUAGAAGGGCGUCCUCAGCCAUAGACAGUGGGGAGGUAGGCUUAGAAGCAGCCACCCUUCAAAGAAAGCGUAACAGCUCACCCACCGAGGCUGGGGGCCCCGAAAAUAAACGGGACUCAAGUCAGCUACCGAGCCCUCGGGGCACACCCGAAGGGGUGUGAUCCGGUAGGAGGGCGUUCCGCUUGGGGAGAAGCUGGGCCGUGAGGUCCAGUGGACCGGGCGGAAUUGUAGAUCCCGGUGGAAGUAACAGCAUAGUCAGGUGAGAAUCCUGACCGCCGAAAGGGCCAGGGUUCCCCGGCGAUGCGUCAUCAGCCGGGGGUAAGUCGAUCCUAAGGCCGACCUUAACUGGGUAGGCCGAAGGGGAAACCGGUUAAGAUUCCGGUACCACGGGGGUACAUGCGGCAACGCAGGCCCUGCGUCUGACGCUUCAGGGUAGGCUGAACGGGGCCGUCGCCCCGUCUAACCGCUUAAGCCUGGGGAGUGCCGUAAUGGCGAGAACCAGGCGAAGGCCGGGAAUGGCCUCCCGUUUAGGGGGGUUCAGCCGAUCCCCGGAGCCAGUGAAAAGGGCGCAGGGAGGGAUCCUCCGCGACCGUACCUAGAACCGACACAGGUGUCCCUAGGCGAGAAACCUAAGGCGUAUCGGGCAUAAUUCGUGGCGAGGGAACUCGACAAAUUAGCCCCGUAACUUUGGGAUAAGGGGUGCCUAUGGUCUUGGUCCUUGACUGGGACCGUAGGUCGCAGUGGCAAAGGGGUGCCGACUGUUUAAUAAAAACACAGGGGGCUGCUAGCGUGAAAACGUGUGUACAGCCCUUGAAUCCUGGCCAGUGGCGGGAUCUUAAACCUGGUUUCAACUGGGCGAAGGACCGCUAAACGCCGGGAGUAACUCUGACUCUCUUAAGGUAGCCAAAUGCCUUGUCGGGUAAGUUCCGACGUGCAUGAAUGGAUCAACGAGCACCCCACUGUCCCCGCCCGGAGCCCGGUGAAACCACAUGACUCAGACGAACAGUCUGGGAUUUCCCAGCGGGAAAAGAAGACCCCGUGGAGUUUUACUGUAGCUUGUUGCUGGGAUGCGGCUGUCGUUGCAUAGCGUAGGCGGGAGCCGUCGAGGCCAGUCCCUUCGGGGGCUGGCGGAGGCGCCAAUGGAACACCGCCCUUCGGCAGCUGCAUCUCUUACCGGGGCGAAUGCUCCGGGACAACGGCAGGUGGGCAGUUUGGCUGGGGCGGCACCCCCUUGAAAACGAAUCAAGGGGGCCCAAAGGUCGGCUCAGGUGGGACAGAAACCCAUCGUAGAGGGCAAAGCCAAAAGCCGGCCUGACUGGACCCUCCAAGGCAAGGGGUCCAGGAGCGAAAGCUGGGCUUAGCGAUCUACCGAGCCCCCAUUGAUGGGGGCCGAUAGUGACAGAAAAAUUACCCCGGGGGUAACAGGCUCGUCGCGGGUGAGAGCUCCCAUCGACCCCGCGGUUUGGUACCUCGCCGUCGGCUCUUCCCAUCCUGGCGGUGCAGCAGCCGCCAAGGGUAGGGCUGUUCGCCCAUUAAAGGGGAACGUGAGCUGGGUUUAGACCGUCGUGAGACAGGUCGGAUUUUAUCUGCUGGGAAUGCUGGUCGCUUGAGGGGAAGGUGUCCUUAGUACGAGAGGAACGGGGCGCCGUAGCCUACGGUAUACCGGUUGUCUGAUAAGGCACUGCCGGGCAGCUGCGCUAUAUUGGAUAAGGGCUGAAUGCAUCUAAGCCCGAAACCAUACCCGAAAAUAAGCGACCAUCGACAAUGAUGAGAUUUGGAAACAGGUCUCUAGUUGUGGACUAGGACUGGAAGAGAAGAUUCCGUUGAUGGAGUGGAGGUGUACGCUGGAAGGCUUCGGCCGACCAGUUUAGCCUGCCACCCCCAAUCGUCCAAGGUGUUGGGCU